rnacentral:rRNA from 1 species
AUUGAACGCUGGCGGCAUGCUUUACACAUGCAAGUCGAGCGGCAGCGCGGGGGCAACCCUGGCGGCGAGCGGCGAACGGGUGAGGAAUACAUCGGAACGUGCCCGAGAGUGGGGGAUAACGCCGCGAAAGCGGCGCUAAUACCGCAUAUUCUCUGAGGAGGAAAGUGGGGGACCGCAAGGCCUCACGCUCACGGAGCGGCCGAUGUCGGAUUAGCUAGUUGGUGGGGUAAAGGCUUACCAAGGCGACGAUCCGUAGCUGGUCUGAGAGGAUGAUCAGCCACACUGGGACUGAGACACGGCCCAGACUCCUACGGGAGGCAGCAGUGGGGAAUUUUGGACAAUGGGGGCAACCCUGAUCCAGCCAUGCCGCGUGCGGGAAGAAGGCCU